GAGCACGCCGCGUGAGUGAUGAAGGGUUUCGGCUCGUAAAACUCUGUUAUUAGGGAAGAACAUAUGUGUAAGUAACUGUGCACAUCUUGACGGUACCUAAUCAGAAAGCCACGGCUAACUACGUGCCAGCAGCCGCGGUAAUACGUAGGUGGCAAGCGUUAUCCGGAAUUAUUGGGCGUAAAGCGCGCGUAGGCGGUUUCUUAAGUCUGAUGUGAAAGCCCACGGCUCAACCGUGGAGGGUCAUUGGAAACUGGGAAACUUGAGUGCAGAAGAGGAAAGUGGAAUUCCAUGUGUAGCGGUGAAAUGCGCAGAGAUAUGGAGGAACACCAGUGGCGAAGGCGACUUUCUGGUCUGUAACUGACGCUGAUGUGCGAAAGCGUGGGGAUCAAACAGGAUUAGAUACCCC
rnacentral:rRNA from 1 species